GAGGCCACCGGACCACUCACCACAGGAGCUGAUGCACAUUCUUCAGCUGAACUUUACACCGUUGUCCCACCAUCCACUGAAUUGAACACCAUUCAGACUCAUGGCUUUAUCAGGUACAGAAUGAAUGAUUACAAACCACCAAUACAUCAGCAAAUCUUUUUUCGUGCGUUUUCUAAAUAGUGUGAGCAGUCACACACUAAGAAUUUCUGACAUAUCUCUCGACUUGUACCUAGAUUUUGAGUAUCUAUUUCUGUCAGUAAUAAUUGAUUGUUACCACAACAGCUCUUCAUAGUGUGGGUGGGGGUGAAAGAGGAUUGUGUUCAUCAGUUUCUGUGUUCAUGUGUGUGAUGGAUGAUGUUCUGACUGGUCUGUCCCCACCCCGACUCCACAGCAGUGACAUGCGUGUGGUGUGUAGAGACUCCAACGGUUGUGUCAGUGUUCUCUCGUUGACGGCGCCGGGGCUAGAGACCACGGCCCAGUGGAAGGCUCUGAGGCCUGGAUCACAGCCAUCUCCUUCUAGGACACCCAGCUGUUCUACUCAGAAGAUGCUGCUGCUACUGCUGCUGCCUCAGCACUACACUUCCAGACGGUCUGUCCAAAGGCUGCAUCCCACAUGGCCGGUGGAACUACGUGCUCUUUAGCACAGGGGUCCAGGACCUCCUUGUCCCCGUCUGGGAGGGUCCUGAACCCCACAGCCUGGACCCCCUUGGGGGAGGGGGGAAUUAAUUUGGCCUUUUCAAAUUGAAAUAAUAAAUGGAAAGGCAUGGCUUGGACAAUCUCUCCAAAGGCUAAUGCCUCCUUUGGGGUCAUUUAAUAACUGGAGGAGAGACCCUAGCUGCUCCUUCUGGCCCGCAUAUGCAUGGCGCUUAUAGGGAGGCCAACCUCUAGCUGUGAGGUUGGCCUCCCGGGAGAUACCAUGGCCCGGGUCUCUGCCUCCAGGUGGGGGCGGGGACUUGUACAGGGUCAGUGAUGCAUGUUUCUGUUGUAUGUUGUUUCAUGUUUUGUUGGUUUUAAUAAAUCCAGUUUUCUGACUAAACUGAAGUGUUUAUUGAUGUGUUGAUAUGAAUCGUAAAUGGUAUAUCCUCUGGAUUCAUUGCAUGUUUGUGGCUAUAAUAUCAACCCUGUAAUGCAAAGACAGGCUUCAAACAUGCUUUCAG
rnacentral:lncRNA from 1 species